rnacentral:rRNA from 1 species
UACGUAGGGGGCAAGCGUUGUCCGGAUUUAUUGGGCGUAAAGAGCGUGUAGGCGGCUUUACAGGUCCGUUGUGAAAACUCGAGGCUUAACCUCGAGACGUCGAUGGAAACCGUAUGGCUAGAGUCCGGAAGAGGAGAGUGGAAUUCCUGGUGUAGCGGUGAAAUGCGCAGAUAUCAGGAAGAACACCCGUGGCGAAGGCGGCUCUCUGGGACGGUACUGACGCUGAGACGCGAAAGCGUGGGGAGCGAACAGG